rnacentral:misc_RNA from 1 species
AUUGGAUCCUCAAGUUCUCAUUUCUCAGCCCUUUCCUUCUUGAAAAGAGAACUUGUAUUCUCGACCCCUUUCAUAUCCUCUCCAGAUCUAAGAAAUUUUCCAGAGCAGAAGAAUUUUGCCCCGAAUACAGCAGAGAAAAGGGUAAAGGGUUUUGGUAAACCAGAGCAUUAAUCACGCAAUUUGUGAAGAGGAAAGAGGAAUGAGAAUUCUCCACCUUUUGCAAUAGUUGUCUACCACAACGAGUUUGAAGCAUUACUACAAAAAUUAAGGGAGCUAAGGCUUACUUUUCUCAAGAGGAGCCUGACAUUCGAGUAAUAAAUCUCUUUGCCGCUUUAUUAAUUUUGCUGACAUUAUAUCUGCUGUUAUUAGCUUCUCUUCUAUAAUUACUUCUUUUUCUUUAUAUAUUCGUUAGAGGUCUUCUUUGCCUUAUCCUGUUGAUGAUUUAAUUUCACAGGGUCCUCAUCUCUCUCUUUGCUACUUGGGAAGCUUUCAGUGAUAUUCAUAGAUGACUUUAGAUUUGAUCUUUUCAUAUAAUUUUCUAAUUCUAGUAUUUAUCUGAAUAUUAUGGUAGAGCAAAAUAGAGAUCAUUGCAAGCCUUUGCUCUAAUGCAUUUUCUAUUUGGUCUGCUAUUUUUGCUUGGUUUCAUUCUUGAAUCCCUAGAAAAGCAAUACGAGAGAGAACUUGAGAGUGUGCAAAAGGUGUUAAAAAUGGCGUUGAAGUUUCUGAACAAGAAGGGAUGGCACACGGGGAGCUUGAGGAACAUAGAGAAUGUGUGGAAGGCUGAGCAGAAGCAUGAUGCUGAGCAGAAGAAAUUAGAAGAGCUGCGCAAGCAGAUUCAGGAAGAACGUGAGCGCUCUGAGUUUCGCCUUCUCCAGGAACAAGCCGGUCUCGUUCCGAAGCAGGAGAGAUUGGAUUUUCUUUAUGAUUCUGGACUGGCUGUUGGAAAGGGCAGUAGUUCUGGUGGAGGAUCUGGAGUAGCAUUCAAGACACUUGAAGAAGCUGUUCCCAACAACAGCAAGGCCACGGAUACAUCAUCUUCUACUGCCAAGCAGUCCUCUGCCCCAGGAGCCUUAUUUGAGGACAAGCCUCACUCUGCCAAUGAUGCUUGGAGGAAACUCCAUUCUGAUCCUUUGCUUUUGAUUCGCCAGCGGGAGCAAGAAGCCCUUGCCCGUAUCAAGAACAAUCCUAUUCAAAUGGCCCUCAUUCGCAAAUCAGUAAAGUUUUUAUAUUUUUGUUUAUUCUUGUUAUGACUAACUUUUUGUUAUAUUAGAUGAAAACGGGAGAGAGAGAGAAGAAGGGGGGCGGGGGUGUACAUGCAUUGCAUAGCUUUGAUUUCAUGGUUAUGGCAGUGUUUUCUUUCCUACUAGUCUGAUUUAGGCUUUGUAAACUCAUUCCAAAACUUGAAAGCAUUUCUUUCCAUUGAUGAAUUCUUCCAUCCACAAAUUCAAAACUUUAGCUUGCUUCAUUGAAUGAAGCUUGAAUUAGUCUACCCUAUAGUUUGUUUACUUAACUGAAUCUUCUAAUCAAUUUCUCAUGGUUUGAAAAUUUAUUGAAGUGGGAAAAAAAUUAAUUGAUAUCAUGGGAGAAAAUUGAUUAGAAAUGAGCAGACAAUAAUGGCAUGAAUUUUGUCAAAUUAAUGCAAUUAUAAAAAAAGAAAAAAUAAUCAUAAUAUGAUGGUCAAUUUUCCUGGGCAUGCUAUAAUAUAUUAAUCAGAGUUUUAUUUUUUAUUUUUUUUUAUAGGUUGAAGCAAACAAAGAGGAGAAGGCUCUCCAUAAAAAGGAACACCGAAAGAAGAACAGUCACAGUAAUGCAAAACAUCUCAAGCAUUCAUCAUCCAAAGAGCAAUCAGAUUCAGACGAUGCUCAUGACAGAAGUGAAAAGAGGAGAAAGACUGGCAAGCAUAAACGCACUAAGCAUGAUGACCAUUAUUAUAAAGCACAAGUGGUUUUGGAUGACAAAUUAGGUGAAAGAGAAAGUCAAAGAAGAAAGAACAGCUACAAGGCUUCCAACUACAGAAAGCAAUCUCCCAGUGGCUUCUCAAGCUCAAAAAUUGCGCAAAGUGAUGGUCAAGAUGCUGUCAACAAGAAUCAUGACAAGUUGAAUGGUGAGCAGCAUUCCUUCAAAGAUCAGACAGAACCUGAUGUUGAUAGAAAGGAAAGGGAACCCAGAAGUUUUAACUAUAGAAAUGAAAGGGAAACCAGAAGAUUUAGUGAACCAAGAUCUUAUGAUUCAUCUAUGUCAAUCCGCCAUGAUUCACGCCAUAAGCGCCACGGUGUUGCUCCUAAACUUUCAGAAGAAGAACGAGCUGCCAAGUUAAGGGAGAUGCAAGUGGAUGCUGAGUUGCAUGAGGAGCAAAGGUGGAAGCGCUUGAGGAAGGCUGAAGAGGAUGAUAAAAGGGAAGCUACCCGUGCUAGCAUAUCUGGUGGCAGGAACUUCCUGGAUGCAGCUCAGAGAAGUGUGUAUGGCACUGAGAAGGGGGGAAGUUCCACCAUAGAGGAGAGUGUCCGUCGUCGAACAUAUUAUUUGCAAGGAAGGUCUGAAGCUGGUGAUGGCAAUUCUUUUCGGCGAUAAUGCUCUUGUAUCUUAUUUAUGUUUUUUUCCUGUUGUAACAUUUCCAGUUGAGGACUUCAUGAAUGUUUGGAAGGGUAGCGGGUUGCUAAAGUUACUCCAUUUAUCAUAUGAAGGUUUCAGGCACAGCAGUCUCUCUACAAAGUAGGGGUAAGGCUGCUUGUUCCUACCCUUCCCAGGGCCGCAAGUGUGGGAUGCUCUGCGUAUUGGCCAUUGAGUAACCUUUUCUAUUGUUCCUUAUUUUGCAGUGACUAUCUCCGCGUCCACAGUUUGUUUUGUGUUUUGGAACCUGGAAAUAUAACAGGAGAUAUCCGGUUUUUUUUUUUUAACUUUUUG